CAAUAGCGUAUAUUAAAGUUGUUGCAGUUAGAACGCUCGUAGUCGGAUUUCGGGGCGUUCCGACCGGUCUGCCGAUGGGUAUGCACUGGCCGGAGUGUCCUUUUUGCCGGAGACCGUGCCUACUCUUAACUGAGCGGGGGCGGGAGACGGCACUUUUACUUUGAAAAAAUCAGAGUGUUUCAAGCAGGCAGCUCGCUCUUGCAUGGAUUAGCAUGGGAUAAUGAAAUAGGACUUUGGUGCUAUUUUGUUGGUUUCGAACACCGAAGUAAUGAUGAGAAGGGACAGUCAGGGGCACUCGUAUUCCGCAGAGAGAGGUGAAAUUCUCAGACCCGCGGAAGACGAACCACUGCGAAANCANNNGCCAGGGAUGUUUUCACNGA
rnacentral:rRNA from 1 species